rnacentral:rRNA from 1 species
CUUGAUAGUCCCUUACACCCACUAUCCGCCCGGGUACUACGAGCAUUAGCUUAAAACCCAAAGGACUUGGCGGUGCUUUAGAUCCACCUAGAGGAGCCUGUUCUAGAACCGAUAACCCCCGUUAAACCUCACCCUCUCUUGUUCUUUCCGUCUAUAUACCGCCGUCGUCAGCUUACCCUAUGAAGGAACCACAGUAAGCGAGACUAGCACAACUCAAAACGCCAGGUCGAGGUGUAGCAUAUGAGAGGGGAAGAAAUGGGCUACAUUCCCUACCGUAGGGAAUACGAACAAUGCAAUGAAAUAUGCAUUAAAAGGAGGAUUUAGCAGUAAGCAGAAAAUAGAGCG